rnacentral:rRNA from 1 species
UGGCGGCGAUAGCGCGGUGGUCCCACCUGACCCCAUGCCGAACUCAGAAGUGAAACGCCGUAGCGCCGAUGGUAGUGUGGGGUCUCCCCAUGUGAGAGUAGGGAACUGCCAGACU